rnacentral:rRNA from 1 species
CCUACGGGAGGCAGCAGUGGGGGAUAUUGCACAAUGGGGGAAACCCUGAUGCAGCGACGCCGCGUGUGGGAAGACGGUCUUCUGGAUUGUAAACCACUGUCCCCAGGGACGAAAAUGACGGUACCUGGGGAGGAAGCUCCGGCUAACUACGUGCCAGCAGCAGCGGUAAUACGUAGGGAGCCAGCGUUGUCCGGAAUUACUGGGGGUAAAGGGAGCGUAGGCGGGGAUGCAAGUUGGGUGUCAAAACUACCGGCUCAACCGAUAGUAGCACUCAAAACUGCAGCUCUUGAGUGAAGUAGAGGCAGGCGGAAUUCCGGGUGUAGCGGUGAAAUGCGUAGAUAUUAGGAGGAACACCAGUGGCGAAGGCGGCCUGCUGGGCUUUUACUGACGCUGAGGCUCGAAAGUGUGGGGAGCAAACAGGAUUAGAUACCCCAGUAGUC